rnacentral:piRNA from 1 species
UGGAGAAAGAUGCCUAGCCUGG